AUCCAGCUGACGAGUCCCAGAUAGGACGAAAGGUGUGUCCUGGAU
rnacentral:hammerhead_ribozyme from 1 species